rnacentral:rRNA from 1 species
GAUGAACGCUGGCGGCGUGCCUAAUACAUGCAAGUCGAGCGAACGGACGAGAAGCUUGCUUCUCUGAUGUUAGCGGCGGACGGGUGAGUAACACGUGGAUAACCUACCUAUAGACUGGGAUAACUUCGGGAAACCGUAGCUAAUACCGGAUAAUAUUUUGAACCGCAUGGUUCAAAAGUGAAAGACGGUCUUGCUGUCACUUAUAGAUGGAUCCGCGCUGCAUUAGCUAGUUGGUAAGGUAACGGCUUACCAAGGCAACGAUGCAUAGCCGACCUGAGAGGGUGAUCGGCCACACUGGAACUGAGACACGGUCCAGACUCCUACGGGAGGCAGCAGUAGGGAAUCUUCCGCAAUGGGCGAAAGCCUGACGGAGCAACGCCGCGUGAGUGAUGAAGGUCUUCGGAUCGUAAAACUCUGUUAUUAGGGAAGAACAUAUGUGUAAGUAACUGUGCACAUCUUGACGGUACCUAAUCAGAAAGCCACGGCUAACUACGUG